AAAAUAAAAAAAAAAAACACUUUAUUUCAAGCACCAAGAGUGACCCAAAAAAGGAGGAGUUUAAUGUAUUUUCAUGGAAGAAAAAUAGAUGAUAAAAACUGUAUAAAUAUUGUGUAGCAUUAUAAAAUCUCCUCAAAAUUCAAAAUAAAAAAACUAAAAAUAUUGUUGAAUAAAAGUGUAUUACUUUAAUCUUCCUAAAAAAUCAAAAAACACUUAAUUUCAAGCACCAAGUGUGACCCAAAAAUGAACAGUUUAAUUUAUUUUCAUUGAAGAUAAAUAGAUGAUAAAAACUGUAUAAAUAUUUCAUGCUAUCAUAAAAUCGCCUAAAAAUUCAAGAUAAAAAACUAAAAAUAUUUCUGAAUAACAAAAUGUAUACAAUAAUUUUCUU